GCAUCUGCAAGGCAGACCAGUAAACCGCCCGCAUCCAUUCGGACCAUGCUGUUCGGGCCGCCGGAGCCAUCCAACGCGGGCCCCGUAUCGGCCUGUGGGACGGUUCGGACGCGAUUUUUUCCGCAAGCUAGAGACAAAAGUGGGAGAAGUUUGCGGAAGUUCGGACACACGAAACGUACGAAUCCGACACCCCUGGCCGACCCAAAACCCUUUCCAGACCCUGCGACUCCAUCCUCCUCAUUUUCUCUUCUUCCUUCUUUCUCUCUUGUCUUCGCCGCCGCUCCACCACCCCAGCCACCACGCCACACCCCUGCCGGAACUCCGCGUCUUCGUCACCUUCGACGCUCCAGCAGGGUUCCCUGCCGCUUCUCCUCCGUCUCCAUUCAACCCCUGUCCUCCGACCGUCCCGCCAGGUACCAUCCUCUACUGCUACUCGCACCAUGCCCGUUGAUGAAUCACCAGAGUAGAAAACAAUUGUCCCUUCUUCUUUCUAGCAAUGGAUUCCGAUUUGGAGUACAUAUACUAGCAGUAUAUUGAGUCGUCCGAUGUCUCGUCGGACGAGGAGGAGUACCUCGAUGAGACGACGAUGAUGCAGGUUGUCCUUGAAGACGCGGAGGGUGCGGAGGAGCAUGCUCCCAAUUUCAAGGGCUUGAUCAAGGGUCAUAGGGUGCUCAACCGCAACAGGGCGCGCAGGCAUUUGACAUUGAUGGCCGACUACUUUGCCCAUGAUGCACUAUUUGACCAUUUUCGCCGGCAUUUUCGGAUGCGCAAGACUGUCUUCAAUCGUUUGUACCAUGGUGCCCGGUCCUACGAUGACUACUUCAUCCUGAAGAAGGCUUCUCUGGUUACCAGAAUUGCACGGCCGCACUCCGGAUGGUUGCAUAUGGCAUGGCAGCUGAUUCGUGGGAUGAGUACCCACGGAUGUCUGAGAGCACAUGCGGAGAUGCCAUGGUCAGUUUUGCAACUGCCGUGGUCGAGGUGUUCAGACCUCAGUACCUGAAAGAACCAACUGUGGCAGACACCGACAUGCUCUUGGCAAUCUCAGAAGCAAGAGGGUGGCCAGAUUUUCUUGGAUCUCUUGACUGCAUUAAAUGGAAAUGGAAGAACUACCCGAAGGCUUUACAAGGGCAAUAUCAGGGUCAUGUUUAGAAGCCCACCAUCAUUCUUGAAGCAGUUGCAUCACAUGAUCUUUGGAUUUAGCACAGUUUCUUUGGCAUGCUCGGGUCUCACAAUGACAUCAAUGUGAUGCAAUGAUCGCCGUUGUUUGUGAGGCUGGCUGAAGGAAAAGCUCCUCCUUGCCAUGAUACUGUCAAUGGACAUCAGUACAACAUGGGCUACUAUCUGAUUGAUGGUAUCUAUCCUUCAUGGGCUACCUUUGUCAGUACCAGCUCAAACCCAGUUGGCCAGAAAAAGGCUCACUUUGCCAAAGACAAGGAGCAGCUAGAAAGGAUGUCGAGAGGGCAUUUGGAGUUCUGCAAGCCUGUUUUACAGUUUUUCGUGGACUUGCAAAACAAUGAGAUCCGAAGACCUUGUGGGAGGUGAUGACAUGUUGUUUGAUCAUGCACAACAUGAUCAUCAAGGAUGAGGGUGACGAUGCUGCCGCAACUCUGGAAUUUGAGAACAUGGGUGGUCUUAUCCAACUUUCGGACCAGAAACCGGCCACAUUUGAAGAGUUUAUUCAAAUGCAUCAACAAAUUCGGCAUCAACCAACUCACGGGCAGUUGAAGGAAGAUCUGAUUGAGCAUCAUUGGGCGGUGAAAGGGCACAACAGUGUUGGGAUGUAAUAUUUGAAUUCUUUUUAAAUUUGAACUAGUGCUGCAUGCGGCUAUUUGAAUGUAUGUACCCUUUGCAUGCCGCUAUUUGAUCAUGCGGACUUGAAAAAAAUGAGGAAGGCCAGAUGUAUGCGGCUUCGGUUGGAUGGCGUCCUCCCGCAUCCGUGUCCGUGGUCUGGACCCGUGUCCGUGGACGGAUGUGGGAGG
rnacentral:rRNA from 1 species